rnacentral:lncRNA from 1 species
GGGGGAAGCGUCAGUGACGAAAGCGCGCAGUUUGAAGUAACGCGCUCACUCGUAUGUGUGUGGGUUGCCAGUAAUUAAGUUCAUUUUCUUCAAAAGCAACAACCAUCCAAUUUCUCUGUCUGCUAAUUCCGUCUCGAGGCUUGUUGCCUUCCUUUCACUGUUGGGAGUCUGCAGAGAGGCACACGUUCAAGGAACAGACUGCAGCCAUCUUCCCAUGGUGGAUGUGGCGGUGUUCUUAUUCUUUCUUCUAAGCAGUUUGAUUCUUUUGAUCUUGGAUCACAAUCAGUUGAAAGGCUCUUUGAAACGAUCUGAACUGCUCACUAAGCCCCAGAGGUUUUUCCUUCAAAUUGAUUUUUUUGCCAACUUCAUUUGUGGCCUCAUGUGGUUGGUUUUUCCAGGAUGGCUUCUUGGGUCACAGAUUAAUGGAUCUGAGGAUCAUCUUUAUCUCACUCGGGCAUUUGGAGCCAUGAUGGUUGGAGACAGCUUUGUUUCUUUUACCACUCAGAAACAAAUGGGAUCCAAUGAGGUAUCUGUCUUCAGCAGCCGAGCUGUGGUAUGUCAUAUUACAACAUAUUACAACUUUUUAACACUGAUUUUGCUCCAACAUGAUUA